GAAUACUGGAAUCACUUCAACAUGAAGAUUUUUACAAUCUCACUCCUGAGGAAAAGACAAAGAUCCUGGUGACCCUUUGUCAUGAAGUUUUAUCGUCAGAUGCCAUGGAUGACUAUAUUGGAAGUCAACUCACUGAGGCCACAGAGUUAAGAAAACAAAAGAAAGCCAAGCAGAAAGAAAAGAAUGA